rnacentral:miRNA from 7 species
CUUUAUUAAGGUUAAGGAGUACAUGGCAUGUGGUACUGAAAGACCCCCGAAGGGAGACCCUCACUCAAGCCUCGGGAUGUGGCGCAGACCCAAGAGAGACGCAGAGACCG